GAUGAACGCUGGCGGCGUGCCUAAUACAUGCAAGUCGAGCGAACGGACGAGAAGCUUGCUUCUCUGAUGUUAGCGGCGGACGGGUGAGUAACACGUGGAUAACCUACCUAUAAGACUGGGAUAACUUCGGGAAACCGGAGCUAAUACCGGAUAAUAUUUUGAACCGCAUGGUUCAAAAGUGAAAGACGGUCUUGCUGUCACUUAUAGAUGGAUCCGCGCUGCAUUAGCUAGUUGGUAAGGUAACGGCUUACCAAGGCAACGAUGCAUAGCCGACCUGAGAGGGUGAUCGGCCACACUGGAACUGAGACACGGUCCAGACACCUACGGGAGGCAGCAGUAGGGAAUCUUCCGCAAUGGGCGAAAGCCUGACGGAGCAACGCCGCGUGAGUGAUGAAGGUCUUCGGAUCGUAAAACUCUGUUAUUAGGGAAGAACAUAUGUGUAAGUAACUGUGUACAUCUUGACGGUACCUAAUCAGAAAGCCACGGCUAACUACGUG
rnacentral:rRNA from 1 species